GCAGUUGCUUUUGGUUACCUGUUUGUGCAGACAGCAGCUGAGUGUAAUCAGUGGGUUCCACUGGUAAAGUGACCCCCCCCCAUUGAGUACAAUUAUGUGAUUCCUCUGUCUGCGCCGACACCAGCUGAGUAUAAUCCGGUGAUUCCUGUGCAACUGCCAGCUAUAGCAAGUGGAGAUGGCCCGCCCACUCUCUAAAUCUGCAGAUUGUAACCUGAGUCCAGCAGCCUCUGGUAAGUACUGCGAUCAGUAAACUUGUGAGGCCUGUUAACAAUGAACCUGGUGUCCUGCAAUAUGUGGCCUUUAGAGACCUACUUACAGCCUGGCAUUAGGAGCUACAGACUCCACUCUGGAGGGGAAUUCUGCUGGAGGACCUGCGCCAUCCUAGUAAGGAGAAGGCAGUAAGAAGAAAGAAAAUCCUUAAGGGGUAUCAGGCAUUCUACAGUGCUAUAGAAGACGAUGCAGCCACAGUGAGAAUUUGGCUUGGAAAUGGAGUGGUUCAAGGGUUAAUUCACCUUCAAGUUAACUUUUAAAUCUGACAACAAGCCAUUUUUGCAACAGAACCUGCCAAAGCCUGAUCUGUGCUCUAAAUCAGACAUUGAGGGCCAUAUUCUUUCUUACAGACUGCCAUGAGCUCUCCUCAUCUUUCCUGCAUUGAUCUCGAGGGCAGAUAAAGAACAAGUAACACAUUUAUUCUACUUUGAAGCAUAACAAAAGAGUGCCAGGGGUUUAAAAUAGGCCAAUACCAAUCAUGGUUAAUUACUAUAGGAUGCCCCCAGGGUUUUGUCAUCAGUGUAAUUGUAUCUUUUUCUUGUUUGCCUUUCGUGUGCCUACAUGACAGCUAAGUGUGUCUUUUCCUUAUUCUAAAUAUGAUGUGUCCUUUAUGUUGCUGCUUUGAAACACAAAUAAAAUGAGUGUCAGAGUGGAGUUUUUUCCUGAGCAUCUUUUAGUAAUAAAUGGUUCUUAGUUCUAUUAUCUCAGUGGAUUUCAGUCUUGUUAUGUGCUGUGAAUGGUAGAACUGUUCUCUAAAUCAGCUGUUAAGCGUCAUUACCACCCAUUGGCACAUUAUGCCAGCACAAGAACUCAGUGCCUUGUGGAUAAUUUUUGUCAUUAGACACUGGCAUUAGGAAAAAAUUGCUACUUUGGAUAGCAGCUGUGUGUUCUCUCCCUAACACUACAUGAAGAUGUUUAUUAUUCAAGAAGUAUCAUCCAAGGUAAAAACAGUACAUUACAAAACCACAGACAUAAACAAAUAAACAGAUA